rnacentral:tRNA from 1 species
UGGCUUAUAUCUCAAUGGUUAGAGAGCCUGAUUGAUAAUCGGGAGAUAUUGGUUCAAUUCCAAUUAAGCUAA